GACGAACGCUGGCGGCGUGCUUAACACAUGCAAGUCGAACGGAAAGGCCCUGCUUGCAGGGUGCUCGAGUGGCGAACGGGUGAGUAACACGUGGGUGAUCUGCCCCUUACUUUGGGAUAAGCCUGGGAAACUGGGUCUAAUACUGGAUAGGACCAUGCUAUAGGUGGUGUGGUGGAAAGAUUAGUUUCGGUAAGGGAUGAGCUCGCGGCCUAUCAGCUUGUUGGUGGGGUAAUGGCCUACCAAGGCGUCGACGGGUAGCCGGCCUGAGAGGGUGGACGGCCACAUUGGGACUGAGAUACGGCCCAGACUCCUACGGGAGGCAGCAGUGGGGAAUAUUGCACAAUGGGCGCAAGCCUGAUGCAGCGACGCCGCGUGGGGGAUGACGGCCUUCGGGUUGUAAACUCCUUUCAGCCAUGACGAAGCCCUUGUGGUGACGGUAGUGGUAGAAGAAGCACCGGCUAACUACGUG
rnacentral:rRNA from 1 species